GACCUCAGAUCAGGUAGGACCACCGCCUGAACUUAAGCAUAUCAAUAAGGCGAGGAACAGAAACCAACAGGGAUUCCCCUAGUAGUGGCGAAUGAAGCGGGAAAAGCUCAAGUUUGAAAUCUGGUGGGCUCGUCCCCUCAGAGUUGUAAGCUGAAGAGGCAUCGACCGACGUCGUCUGGGCCCAAUUUCCUUGGAACAGGAAGUCAUUGAGGGUGAGAACCCCGUCUGUGGCUCGGAGCCUUCGUCCUUGUGUCGUGUCCUCGAAGAGUCGGGUUGUUUGGGAAUGCAGCUCAAAAUGGGUGGUAAAUUCCAUCUAAGGCUAAAUAUUGACGAGAGACCGAUAGCGAACAAGUAGAGUGAUCGAAAGAUGAAAAGUACUUUGAAAAGAGAGUGAAACAGUACGUGAAAUUGUUGAAAGGGAAGCGUUUGGCAUCAG
rnacentral:rRNA from 1 species